GAGGGUAUAGCUCAGUGGUAGAGUGUGUGCUUAGCAUGCUCGAGGUCCUGGGUUCAAUCCCCAGUACUUCUG
rnacentral:tRNA from 1 species